rnacentral:rRNA from 1 species
CCUACGGGAGGCAGCAGUGAGGAAUAUUGGUCAAUGGUCGCGAGCCUGAACCAGCCAAGUAGCGUGAAGGAUGACUGCCCUACGGGUUGUAAACUUCUUUUGUCAGGGAAUAAAGUGAGGCACGUGUGCCUGUUUGUAUGUAUUUUAUGAAUAAGGAUCGGCUAACUCCGUGCCAGCAGCCGCGGUAAUACGGAGGAUCCGAGCGUUAUCCGGAUUUAUUGGGUUUAAAGGGAGCGUAGGUGGGUUGUUAAGUCAGUGGUUAAAGUUUGCGGCUCAACCGUAAAAUUGCAAUUGAAACUGGCAGCCUUGAGUAGAGUUGAGGUAGGCGGAAUGCGUGGUGUAGCGGUGAAAUGCUUAGAUAUCACGAAGAACUCCGAUUGCGAAGGCAGCCUACUAACUUGACACUGACAUUGAUGCUCGAAAGCGUGGGUAUCAAACAGGAUUAGAUACCCCGGUAGUC